AUACGUAGGGGGCGAGCGUUGUCCGGAAUGAUUGGGCGUAAAGGGCGCGUAGGCGGCGCGGUAAGUCUGGAGUGAAAGUCCUGCUUUCAAGGUGGGAAUUGCUUUGGAUACUGCCGCGCUUGAGUGCAGGAGAGGUUGUCGGAAUUCCCGGUGUAGCGGUGAAAUGCGUAGAGAUCGGGAGGAACACCAGUGGCGAAGGCGGGUAACUGGACUGCAACUGACGCUGAGGCGCGAAAGUGUGGGGAGCAAACAGGAUUAGAUACCCUGGUAGUCCACGCGGUAAACGAUGAAUGCUAGGUGUUGCGGGUAUCGACCCCUGCAGUGCCGGAGUCAACACAAUAAGCAUUCCGCCUGGGGAGUACGGCCGCAAGGUUGAAACUCAAAUGAAUUGGCGGGG
rnacentral:rRNA from 1 species